rnacentral:rRNA from 1 species
AUUGAACGCUGGCGGCAGGCCUAACACAUGCAAGUAGAACGAGUGGCGGACGGGUGAGUACUGUCUGGGAAACUGCACGAGGGAGGGGGGUAGCUACUGGAAACGGUAGCUAAUACCGCAUACCAGCGGAUGUGCCCAGAUGGAAUUAGCUAGUAGGUGGGGUAAAGGCUCACCUAGGCGACGAUCCCUAGCUGGUCUGAGAGGAUGACCGGCCACACUGGAACUGAGACACGGUCCAGACUCCUACGGGAGGCAGCAGUGGGGAAUAUUGCACAAUGGGCGCAAGCCGGAUGCAGCCAUGCCGCGUGGAUGAAGAAGGCCGUCGGGUUUUAAAGUACUUGCAGCGGGGAGGCGUUACCCGCAGAAGAAGCACCGGCUAACUCCGUGCCAGCAGCCGCGGUAAUUC